ensembl:lncRNA
AUGAUCCAUGAUCAGUACCUGAAGGGAGAUUUCUCUCUCACCAUCUCUGACGCUGAUUACAGUAUGAUGGGCACGUACACAUGUGAGUGCGGUAAUUCUGAACUCUGUGAUGUGCGGCUUCAGGUUGAGGAAACACCAGAGGCAGGGAACAAUAUUUCUGGCAGCAGUCAUACUAAAGGAACGUCCCACGUGUAUGUGUCAGCUGUUCCUCUAGUGAGGGUGAAGCUUCAUGACUCUGCUACUCUGCCCUGCUCUGAGACAUGUUCUGGUUUGGUCAGAUGGACUGAGUUCCAUAAUCCCACUGAUGUUCUGGCUGAGUGUGAUCAGACCUCAUGUAGAUCAGUGAAGGAGGGAUAUCAGAUGAUCCAUGAUCAGUACCUGAAGGGAGAUUUCUCUCUCACCAUCUCUGACGCUGAUUACAGUAUGAUGGGCACGUACACAUGUGAGUGCGGUAAUUCUGAAGUCUGUGAUGUGCGGCUUCAGGUUGAGGAAACACCAGAGGCAGGGAACAAUAUUUCUGGCAGCAGUCAUACUAAAGGAACGUCCCACGUGUAUGUGUCAGCUGUUCCUCUAGUGAAGGUGAAGCUUCAUGACUCUGCUACUCUGCCCUGCUCUGAGACAUGUUCUGGUUUGGUCAGAUGGACUGAGUUCCAUAAUCCCACUGAUGUUCUGGCUGAGUGUGAUCAGACUUCAUGUAGAUCAGUGAAGGAGGGAUAUCAGAUGAUCCAUGAUCAGUACCUGAAGGGAGAUCUCUCUCUCACCAUCACUGACGCUGAUUACAGUAUGAUGGGCACGUACACAUGUGAGUGCGGUAAUUCUGAACUCUGUGAUGUGCGGCUUCAGGUUGAGGAAACACCAGAGGCAGGGAACAAUAUUUCUGGCAGCAGUCAUACUAAAGGAACGUCCCACGUGUAUGUGUCAGCUGUUCCUCUAGUGAGGGUGAAGCUUCAUGACUCUGCUACUCUGCCCUGCUCUGAGACAUGUUCUGGUUUGGUCAGAUGGACUGAGUUCCAUAAUCCCACUGAUGUUCUGGCUGAGUGUGAUCAGACCUCAUGUAGAUCAGUGAAGGAGGGAUAUCAGAUGAUCCAUGAUCAGUACCUGAAGGGAGAUUUCUCUCUCACCAUCACUGACGCUGAUUACAGUAUGAUGGGCACGUACACAUGUGAGUGCGGUAAUUCUGAACUCUGUGAUGUGCGGCUUCAGGUUGAGGAAACACCAGAGGCAGGGAACAAUAUUUCUGGCAGCAGUCAUACUAAAGGAACGUCCCACGGUAAGAUCUGUCCAGUUACAAAACACUAGCAGGGCCAGUUCUAGCAUUUUUGGGAGGCCUAGGCAGGUUUUUUUUUUUUUUUUGUGGGGGGGGGGGGGCGGGGGUAUCUUGCUUGCUGAUGCACUGUAAAAGUGGAAGCUAACUCAUAACAACGAUUACCACCAGCUGUGUAAAUUACGUACAUUUGUAAGUAGCUAAUUGUGUAAUUCUGAUUACUGGAUGCUAGUUUGGGGUUUUAAUAUGUUACCAUUUAAAUUACAGCUAACCUUCUAAAGAUUUAGAGCCAGUAAUUCUCAGUCUGUAAACAGUUUUACAGCCCAUCUUGUUUGCUGAACUGUAUUCUAAUCGUGUUGUUGUCCACUUGCUCAGGAUCAGUACAGCAGGUUGGGAAUCUGGUGUGGUUCUGUGGCCACUUUUCUUCAGUAUCUGAUUAAACGGACCUAAUUUCAAAUACUAUCUCAUAAAAGUCAUCUAACGUGUCAGUUUUAUGUUUUUCAUUGUACUAAAGUGGAAACUUAGUAACCUAAUAAUUACCUGCAGCGUAAAGACACUUCAAAU